rnacentral:rRNA from 1 species
CUACGGGAUGCACCAGUGGGGAAUAUUGGGCAAUGGGCGCAAGCCUGACCCAGCAACGCCGCGUGAGGGAAGAAGGUUUUCGGAUUGUAAACCUCUGUCCUUGGGGACGAAGAAGUGACGGUACCCAAGGAGGAAGCUCCGGCUAACUACGUGCCAGCAGCCGCGGUAAUACGUAGGGAGCAAGCGUUGUCCGGAAUUACUGGGCGUAAGGGGUGCGUAGGCGGCAUAUUAAGUCAGGUGUGAAAUACUCGGGCUCAACCCGGGGGCUGCAUUUGAAACUGAUAUGCUUGAGUGUGAGAGAGGAAAGUGGAAUUCCUAGUGUAGCGGUGGCAUGCGUAGAUAUUAGGAGGAACACCAGUGGCGAAGGCGACUUUCUGGCUCAUAACUGACGCUGAGGCACGAAAGCGUGGGGAGCAAACAGGAUUAGAUACCCCUGUAGUC